rnacentral:lncRNA from 1 species
AUGCCAAGCCCUGAGACUCGUCCCUCCCCUGACCACAGGCCUCUUGGACGAAGCCUCACGUCCCACGCGUCUCAAAACGAAACUCACGAGAGGCCACAUCCCAACACCCGUGCCCGCCACUUUCCGGGACCAAUGGCACCGGCCUCCGACCUCGGCCCGCACCUCUGCCAGGGGAAGCCUCCGGCUCUCCCUCAGGGUCUUCACCCCGAGCCCUUGCAGAACCUAGGCUUCCUCGGUCUCUCUCCAGACCUAGUUUUCUGGGCGAAGACAGGAGCUGAAACUCUGUUGUCAUCUUGACAUCUACAGGUAAGGCCUUAAGUCUGUAAAUAAGAACUGACACCUUUAUAAUGAUGUGCAUCCCAUCAAUGAAUAUGAUACACUGCUCUGUUUGUUUGGGACUUAUUUUACCUGAAUCUGUCAGUAAACGUUUAUAGUUGCCUCCAUAAAGAUCUCAUACAUUUUUGUCAUGAUCCGUUUAAGGUAAUUUUUGGAUUUUGUUGCUGUUACAAAUGAGAUCUUUUCCUUCGCAUGUUCUAAUUGGCUCUUGUGUGGCAAGGCUCUUGCUUUUUCUACAGUGAGCUUAAACUAUUUCUCUGAGAUUUCUAUUCAUUUGAAUAUUCCACAUACUUACUUAUUCCUUAGAAUUUCCUACAUAGGUGAUCAUAUCACCAAACAGUAUCUUUCUUUUCAGUAUUCAUACCUCUUACUUAGAUAUCCACAGCUCUGGCUUUUUGUUCCAGUGUGGUUUUGAACAGUAGAGGUGAUAGCAUAUAUCUAUGUCUUUUCCUAGACUUUAAUGGAAAUAAAUGCUUGUAGCAUUUCA